rnacentral:rRNA from 1 species
GGCAGGCUUAAUACGAUGCAAGUCGAACGGUAAGGCCCGAAGUGGCAACACGGAAGGUACACGAGUGGCGCACGGGUGCGUAACGCGUAUGCAACCUGCCCCUCACCGGGACAAAACAGCUGGAAACGGCUGCUAAUAUCCCAUGGCUACCGAGGAGGGCAUCCUCCAUGGUAUAAAGAUUCAUUGGUGAGGGAUGGGCAUGCGUAUUAUUAGGUAGUUUGGCGGGGUAACGGACCCACCAAGCCGACGAUGAUUAGGGGUUCUGAGAGGAAAGACCCCCACACUGGAACUGAGACACGGUCCAGACUCCUACGGGAGGCAGCAGUAGGGAAUAUUGGGCAAUGGAGGCAACUCUGACCCAGCCAUUGCCGCGUGAAGGAAUAAGGCCCUAUGGGUCGUAAACUUCUUUUACCGCAGAGUAAACCCGUCCAACGUGUGGGCGGUUGAGAGUAUGCGGGGAAUAAGUAUCGGCUAACUCCGUGCCAGCCGCCGC